AGUGAACGCUGGCGGCAGGCCUAACACAUGCAAGUCGAACGGCAGCACAGUAAGCGCUUGCUCUUACGGGUGGCGAGUGGCGGACGGGUGAGGAAUACAUCGGAAUCUACUUUUUCGUGGGGGAUAACGUAGGGAAACUUACGCUAAUACCGCAUACGACCUACGGGUGAAAGCAGGGGAUCUUCGGACCUUGCGCGAUUCAAUGAGCCGAUGUCGGAUUAGCUAGUUGGCGGGGUAAAGGCCCACCAAGGCGACGAUCCGUAGCUGGUCUGAGAGGAUGAUCAGCCACACUGGAACUGAGACACGGUCCAGACUCCUACGGGAGGCAGCAGUGGGGAAUAUUGGACAAUGGGCGCAAGCCUGAUCCAGCCAUACCGCGUGAGUGAAGAAGGCCUUCGGGUUGUAAAGCCCUUUUGUUGGGAAAGAAAAGCAGCAGGUUAAUACCCCGCUGUUUUGACGGUACCCAAAGAAAAAGCACCGGCUAACUUCGUG
rnacentral:rRNA from 1 species